GUAAGAGUACGUAGGUGGUCUAUUAAGUCAGAUGUGAAAGCCCCGGGCUUAACCUGGGAACUGCAUUUGAAACUGAUAAACUAGAGUAUGGUAGAGGGGGGUAGAAUUUCUAGUGUAGCGGUGAAAUGCGUAGAUAUUAUAAGGAAUACCAGUGGCGAAGGCGGCCCCCUGGACCAAUACUGACACUGAGGUACGAAAGCGUGGGUAGCGAAGAGGAUUAGAUACCCUGGUAGUCCACGCCGUAAACGAUGUCAACUAGCCGUUGGGACCUUGAGGUCUCAGUGGGGCAGCUAACGCGUGAAGUUGACCGCCUGGGGAGUACGGCCGCAAGGCUAAAACUCAAAUGAAUUGACGGGGGCCCGCACAAGCGGUGGAGCAUGUGGUUUAAUUCUAUGCAACGCGAAGAACCUUACCAUCCCUUGACAUCUUCUGAACUUGUUAGAGAUAACUCGGGGCCUUCGGGAACUGAAUGACAGGUGCUGCAUGGGUGUCGUCAGCUCGUGUCGUGAGAUGUUGGGUUAGGUCCCGCAACGAGCGCAACCCUUAUCCUUAGUUGCCAGCACAUUAUGGUGGGAACUCUAAGGAGACUGCCGGUGAUAAACCGGAGGAAGGUGGGGAUGACGUCAAGUCAUCAUGGGCCUUAUGGGAUGGGCUACACACGUGCUACAAUGGGCAGUACAGAGAGCAGCGAACUCCCGAGAGUAAGCAAAUCCCAGAAAGCUGGUCGUAGUCCGGAUUGGAGUCUGCAACUCGACUCCAUGAAGUUGGAAUCGCUAGUAAUCGCGAAUCAUAAUGUCGCGGUGAAUACGUU
rnacentral:rRNA from 1 species